AUAUUGCAUGAUGCGGCUUUGGUU
rnacentral:siRNA from 1 species